CUCAGUUUUAGUAUUCAGAGGCUGACCUGAACUUUGCGUGCUCUGCGUUAGAUUGCUCAACCUGUCUGCUCCACAGAAACUCACCUCGCUAACCACUGCUUGCUGCUUUCUCUUUUUGUGUUAGCCUACACCCAAAGCCACUGUCAGAUGUCAUGGAGAUGAGACUUCAGAAGCUGGAUUCUAGAGUAUAAAUGGAGAACAAUGAGAGAUGAAGACAGAGUGACAGGGUAAAUUAUGAUGGACCCUCAUGUGAUGACAAUGAAGCUGGAUUUUAUUUGUAAGACAUUAGGGAACAACUGGAGGAUGAAGAGAUGCAUCCAGAGCAAAGAAAUCUGAACAAAGGUGGAGGCCGAAGCUGCACUCUCGCUACUCUCUUCUGCUUCCUGACCACCCCGGGGUUUUUUCUUGUGGCCCUGCAUGGCAUGCCCCGCCUUGCCUCUUAUCUCUAGGACCUGUGAGUAUAAUAAACUUUGUCUUCCUGAGUCUCUCCUCUGUCUCCUUGUGGCCACCCCUGACUGACCACCUCAUAAAGCAACACAGAACAGGCCAGAAAUUUGAAAAAGGAAAAACUUAAAAAUCAAGUGAAAGAGGGGCAUCAAUGGAAUAUUCUAGAGGGUGGGGAGUCACUCUCCAACAAACAGCAGCAGAAUGUCCUUCUCAGACAUUUGCUCAUCGGACUGUCAGCAGCUGAACCUGCCGCUAACUCCCAACUCCUCGUCUGCACGACUGCCACAUGCUGUUGUCUGUGGAUGAGGAAUGACAACUGUGUGCAGUAGAGAGAAAGAACGGUAAUGCAUCAAAGUAACACUUUUCUAUUAGGAUUAGUCCUGAUUCAAGCGCCAUUCAUUUAGAGAAGCACUACAAUUGAAAAGGAAAACUUGAAACUUUCUUUUAUCUAAUAGGUUUCUUGAUGGUGAUUUUUGAUUAAGUGCUUUUAUUGAUUCAACAGUAUUAACCUCGUUGACUAAAGCAUCUACACAUAUGAGAAGAAUCUGAUCAUUAUCUCCUAAUGAGCUAUGAGUGAUUCCUUGGCAUUUCCUUCUUGGCUUGAUGCAGAAGCCAGGAUAUUUGGCUUAACACUGGACUUCAUUUCUCUUAGCCAUGUCCGGAAACAGAAGCUCUUAAAUGGAGCCACAGUAAUUAAUCACGGAGAUCUCAGGCUCCUACACAUAACAGGUGCUUGCUAAGUGUUUGUUGAAGGAACAGUAGGAGUCAUCGAUUAUUUUUAGACUACGAUAUGUGAUCCUUAUUUAUCAUAAUAUUUUUCUGAAUAUUGACAUACUUGAAGUUCAAAUGAGAAAAGAAUCUAGCUUCUCCAUUGUAGAAUGACAGUUAUAUGUUGAGUUUAUCUUAAAGCUAUUUUUUACUUAAUGGCUGAGUUUUACUCAUAAGUGAUACAUUUUUAACCUGUUAUCAAUAACAUUAAAGAAAUAAUUUGCAGAGAAGUACACCUACCCCUAUAUUUUCAUUUCAAAUGGAGACUUGGCUACUCAGGAUGCUAUUCCAAAACUUUCAUUUUGGUUGUAAAUUACAAAUUUAUUUGAUUAUUCACUUGGGAUAUUCAAGAAAUUAUUUGGAGCCUUCUUUUUUUUGUUUGUUUUUUGGCCAUUUUUUGGUGUGCAAUUCAAAUGAAAUUCUAUUUAACAAAGGCAUAUUUUUGAAUUUUAAGAGCUAUACAAGCCAGGUAAAAGCACAUUAGCCCCAGGAGAUCACUAUAAAACUCAGACUUAAAAUUAAUUCCUCAAAACACACAAAAAAUACAAGUCCCUAUAGCUUAUGGCAGCCAUCAAAAACCAGUGAUAUAUUGUUCUUCUCCAUGAAGUCACUUCACCACCAGCAGGUUUUAGUUAACAUUAUUACGAUAGUGAAUGACCCUAAAGAGGGCUCCCUUGUUUAUUUGAGGCUCCUUCCUAAUAACCUACAGCUGUGUGAACACCAUCAGCUGUGGGAGUUUCUGAUAUGGGCACAUUAAAAGUGUUGGUAUGUCACUCCAUAUGGUUCUUAUGGCCUUCCUUUGACGAUGCAUAAUAUUCCAUCAGUCCCGCUGUCAAUGGCCAAUUCCUCAGCUGGGCUGAUGACUUGAAAACCUACUCACCAGUCUUUAAUUGUUUCUCAUUGUUGCUUCUAAAAAGCCAGCAUCUCUUUGUUUGCAGUGGGUAAGAAAUGAAGAGACACUCAGUUCAAAUUAAAACAGCUGAGGUUCUGAACAGGCCAAUCCCCUGAAACCUCAGUAAACUUUUGUAUUCACACACUCAAGUCCACUUGGUUGUGUGGAUACAACGCAAUCUGGAGUUGUUAUUGCUUUGAUUGAGUGAAAAUGUAAUCAUGCCUUUGCAAGAGAGGCCCCAAGGGCAGCACUGGGCACAAAUUUAAGGAGGGAUCUUAUUUUCUCGCCUUGAAAUGGAGGUGUUUAACUUUCAAACUUGAUUUUGAAGAAAGCAAUGAACAUAAAGAGCUAAUGGCAGUUUUACUGUAAAACUUUAAUUUAGAAAGAAUUAGUGGGAUCAUUACAUCUUUUAUUUGGGAAAACAAAGGCAUUACUGAAAAAUAAUGUACCUACUACAUGUAAAAUUAAAUAGAACUUAAAGGGAAAAGGAAAUAAAUAUGCAAAACCUAAUUCUGUAACGAGGUCCAAGUUUUAUUCUUUUAAUCUUUUAUUUUGCUACUAAAUCUUAAUUUAGGGUCAGUCUUACAGAGCCUUAGCAAUUUAUUGCUUAAAAUGUUAGAGGAAAACAAUGUGUUGUCAUCGUCGUUGGAUUUUAGACAUUUGCGGGUUUUUAUUAAUUGGAAAAUGCUUUUGUUUUAAGAAGGAUGGUAGAAAGGAGACAGUUUCUGGGGAAGGUAGUUUAGAACAAUUGCCCUCGUAUUUUCAGACUUUUCUUAUCUAUAAAAAUUUAUUUAAUUUCUCUAUGUUUCUGUUUACCUGCUUUCAAUAGAAGGCAGAAAAACACCAAAUUAACUCUAGGAAAUGAGGAAUGUCUUUAUAGCUAUGUAUAAAUACUGAGCCAAUAAUUCUAAGGCCUGUAACGAGUGAUGCCAAAACAAACGAAUAAUAAAGAUUAUUCCUAUUUCAUGAGGUGUUAGUGUCUGUGAAAUAUUCCUAAUCUUCAAAAUCAAUUAAGGCAUAUUUUUAAAUGGAAGCUCAAAGCUGAAGACUAAAGAACAUUAGUGGAACUUCCUUUACCCAGAAUUAAUGGGCCUUGAUGCUGUUGGAAUUCUGAGAAAAAGGGUAUCAUUCUACAAUCCUCAACCCUUUAAUUAUACAGCCACUUUGUUGUAAUGGUCUCCUUACGUGUCUGAGGGUUCACUUACACUGUGGCGGCCACAUGGCAGGAUUAUCUCUUACUGCUUUGUCUUUCCUCAUAAUUUCAUGUCUUCCUCAAGGGUAGGAAUGAUACAUACUUUCUUAAGUAACUUUUCUGUUAUACCUUACAAAUAAACCUCAAUAAUUGACCCCUCAAAUCUUUUCUUACGUAAUGUAAGAAAUGUAAUGAUUGUUCUUUAAAAUACUCCCUUGAAGUUGGAAAGCAGGUGGGAAGAAGGUGCUUUAUUCACUUAUUAAACUGUUGUCUGCAACGUGUGGACUUAUUUAACAUACAUCUUACAAAGCAGGAUGCUAAGAAUUGCCUGAAUCAGGAUAGAAGAGUAAACAUUUGAAAUUUGAUAAUUAAGAGGGUUUAUUAAAUAUUGGCAAACAGCUACUUAAGUGUAAAAUAUAGAGAUCACAUAUACAACACAGUGAGUCACCUGGUCUCUUAAAUUCUUUAGCCAGCAUUUAGUUAUCAAGCCUCUUUGUGGUUUUAUUUCGUAAAACAUUGAAAAAGAACAGAAAGAAAGGUAAGAAAGACCACAAGGUGAAAAUUAGAAAGAUGUCCAGCACAAUAAUUUAUUGCUUUUUUUCAUACGAUGGUAUUGGAUCUGUUUUAUCUGCGGUUGGAAUAAAAUUAUGAUAGAGUCAAAAACCAUGCCUUCCCACCCAGAUAUUCCCUAACAUGUUCUAAUGGAGGACAUGCACAAAGGGAGUGUCUCUCUUGUUUAGAUACACCUUAAUCAGUGAGUUUUGUUAUAAAAAUAAGGCCCCCUAGCAAGAGUGAGGAGAUGAAGAAUAGGAAAACCAUUUCACAAUAAAAAGUAGGAAUUUUGGGAGUUCAGGGAAGCUGGAAAUUCAGUCACUGAAAAAAUGAGGGUGUUAGAACAACUGGAUAUCCACAUGCAAAAAAUGAGCCCCGACAUGGCCUUUAUACCCUUUACAAAAAUUAAUUCAAAAUGGAUCCUAGACCUCACUGUAAAAUACAAAGCUAUAAAACUCCUAGGAGAUAACACAGGAGAAAAAUCUAAAUGACCUUGGGUGCGGCAGUGACUUUUUAGAUAAAACACCAAAGGCACCAUCCAUGAAAGAAAUUGAUAACUUGGGAUUCAUUAAAAUUAAAAACUUCUGUUCUGUGAAAGAUGAUGUCAAGAGAAUGGGAAGACAAACCACAGACUGGGAGAAAAUAUCUGCAACUCAACAAGGAGAAAAGCAACUCAAUUAAAAAAUAGGCAAGAGACCUGAACAGACACCUCACCGAGAAGAUAUACAAACAGCAGACAAGCGUACAAAAAGAUGUCCAACAUCAUAUGUCAUUAAGGAAUUACAAUUAAAACAAUGAGAUACCAGAAGACACCUAUCAGAGUGGCCAAAAUCCAAACCACUGGUGACACGAAAUCCUGGGAAGGAUAUGAAGCAAGAGGAACUCCCAUUUAUUGUAAUCAGAUGCAAAACGGUGCAGCCACUUUGCAAGACAGCUUGGCAGUUUUUUGUAAAACUAAACGCUCUUACCACAUGAUCUAGCAAUUGUGCUCCUUGGAAUUUACCUUAAUGAAGUACAAUAUGUCCACACAAAAGCCUGUGCAGGGAUGUUUACAGGAGCUUUAUUCAUAAUGGCCCAACCUGGAAGCCACCGAGAUUUCCUGCAGAGGGUGAAUGGAUAAACAAACUGUGGUGCACCCAGACAAUGGCAUAUUCUUCAGCUCUAUAAAGAAAUGAGCUGUUAAGCCAGGAAGAGACAUGGAGGAACCUUAAAUGCAUAUUACUAAGGGAAAGAAGCCAAUCUGAAAAGGCUACAUUUUGCAUAAUUCUGACUAUAUGACAUUCUGGAAAAGACAAAUCUACAGAGAAAAUAGAAAGAUCAGUGGUUGCCAGGGAUUGGGAGAGGGAGGGAUGAAUAACAGGGGGAGCACAGAGGAUUUUUUGGGCAGUGGAACCAUUCUGUGUGAUAGUACAGUGGGGGAUAUGUGUCAUUAUAUGUUUGUCAAAACCCAUAGAAUGUAUAACACCAAGAGUGAACCCUAAUGUCAAGUAUGGAUUUUCAGUAAAAAAUGAUGUGUCAGUGUAGGUUUGUGGGUUUUAACAAAUGGACCCCUGUGGUGCUGGGCGUUGAUAGAGGAAGAGGUUGUGUGUGCAUGGGAGCAGGGGGUAUAUGGGAACUCUCUAUGCUUUCUGCUCAAUUUUGCUGUGAAACUAAAAUUGCACUAAAGAUUAAGCCCAUUUAAAUGGCUGAGGACAUUUAAAGAACAGGACUGAUAUUUUAUCUCAAGAUACCUGUUAAGCCAUGAGCUGCUCUACCUCUCCCUCUAUUGCCACAGACCUCCUCUGAAGGCAGCUCCGUGUAUCCUCAGGUUAGUGGUAAUUUGGGGGAGUAGAAAGCUUGGGAUGGCACAGCAGUGAAGCAUGGAAAGGGCUUGCAAGAAGAAUCAGGGCCUGGCGAGAGAACCCGUCAGAGAAGCAGCUGCCAGGCGGAUGCUCAGGAGAGAAUUCCCAGAAAGAUACUCGGGAAGGUAACUCUUGGAGAUUGCACCGGGGGCUGGGACGCUGGUUGGUAGAAAGCUGGCAUCUGCUUCCAUACCUGUGCAAAGGAUCUACUUUACUUUGCAUUUCGUAAUGCUUCUUUUUGAGUAGAUAGGGCUAACACACUGAAGAAACCAGUGUUAGGCACGUAAUAGAUACUGUAUCAAGUCGUAAGUGAAUGGAGAAAAAACGAGGCAAACGACAAAAGAUGAAUAAAGGUGUUAAACAUAAAUAUUUCAUUAAUUUUUCAUUUUUUUGAAAGCGACAUAGCAAUUUUAUAAGGAGGACAUAAAAAUGAGCAGAUUUUUUUUUUUUUUUUUUUUAAAGAUUUUAUUUUUUCCUUUU
rnacentral:lncRNA from 1 species